GCCUAGUUAGCUUGGUUGGUAGCGCGUCUGCCUUGUAAGCGCUAGGUCGCGGGUUCGAUUCCCGCCCGGGGUG
rnacentral:tRNA from 1 species